UACGUAGGGUGCAAGCGUUGUCCGGAAUUAUUGGGCGUAACGAGCUCGUAGGCGGUCUGUUGCGUCGGCUGUGAAAACCCGGGGCUCAACUCCGGGCCUGCAGCCGAUACGGGCAGACUAGAGUUCGGCAGGGGAGACUGGAAUUCCUGGUGUAGCGGUGAAAUGCGCAGAUAUCAGGAGGAACACCGGUGGCGAAGGCGGGUCUCUGGGCCGAUACUGACGCUGAGGAGCGAAAGCGUGGGGAGCGAACAGG
rnacentral:rRNA from 1 species